UGGCUCUCGCAUCGAUGAAGAACGCAGCGAAAUGCGAUAAGUAAUGUGAAUUGCAGAAUUCAGUGAAUCAUCGAAUCUUUGAACGCACCUUGCGCUCCUUGGUAUUCCGAGGAGCAUGCCUGUUUGAGUGUCUUGAAGUCAUCAACCUCCCCGCGUUUUUCGUCGGGCCUCGGGUUGGACAUGGGGGUCUCUGCGGCCGCUCGGCCGCUCCCCUCAAAUGACUCGGUUGGGCCUGUGGGUCGGACUCGGUUCUGGGCGUUGUACCAUCCUCGCUCGCUUCCGACAUGUUCCCCGCCUCCCCUCGAGGGAGGGCCCGUCCAAGACCGUCCGUGGGGUGACGGUCACCUUUUUGAAAUCUGACCUCAAAUCAGGUAGGACUACCCGCUGA
rnacentral:misc_RNA from 1 species